GCCAGACUCCUACGGGAGGCAGCAGUGGGGAAUAUUGGGCAAUGGGCGCAAGCCUGACCCAGCAACGCCGCGUGAAGGAAGAAGGCUUUCGGGUUGUAAACUUCUUUUCUCAGGGACGAAGAAAGUGACGGUACCUGAGGAAUAAGCCACGGCUAACUACGUGCCAGCCGCCGCGGUAAUACGUAGGUGGCAAGCGUUAUCCGGAUUUAUUGGGUGUAAAGGGCGUGUAGGCGGGAGCGCAAGUCAGAUGUGAAAACUCAGGGCUCAACCCUGAGCCUGCAUUUGAAACUGGCAAACUGGAGUGUGUGAGAGGAUAGUGGAAUUCCAGGUGUAGGAGUGAAAUCCGUAGAUAUCUGGAGGAACAUCAGUGGCGAAGGCGACUAUCUGGCACAUAACUGACGCUGAGGAGCGAAAGCGUGGGUAGCAAACAGGAUUAGAUACCCGAGUAUU
rnacentral:rRNA from 1 species